rnacentral:rRNA from 1 species
UACGGAGGGUGCAAGCGUUAUCCGGAUUCACUGGGUUUAAAGGGUGCGUAGGAGGACAGGGAAGUCAGUGGUGAAAUCUCCGGGCUUAACCCGGAAACUGCCGUUGAUACUCUCUGUCUUGAAUAUUGUUGAGGUUUGCGGAAUGGGUCAUGUAGCGGUGAAAUGCAUAGAUAUGACCCGGAACACCAAUUGCGAAGGCAGCAGGCUAAACAAAGAUUGACGCUGAGGCUCGAAAGCGUGGGGAUCAAACAGG